rnacentral:rRNA from 1 species
AUGCCUAGGAAAUUGCCCUGAUGUGGGGGAUAACCAUUGGAAACGAUGGCUAAUACCGCAUGAUGCCUACGGGCCAAAGAGGGGGACCUUCGGGCCUCUCGCGUCAGGAUAUGCCUAGGUGGGAUUAGCUAGUUGGUGAGGUAAGGGCUCACCAAGGCGACGAUCCCUAGCUGGUCUGAGAGGAUGAUCAGCCACACUGGAACUGAGACACGGUCCAGACUCCUACGGGAGGCAGCAGUGGGGAAUAUUGCACAAUGGGCGCAAGCCUGAUGCAGCCAUGCCGCGUGUGUGAAGAAGGCCUUCGGGUUGUAAAGCACUUUCAGUCGUGAGGAAGGUAGUGUAGUUAAUAGCUGCAU